AUUCCCCUACGGGGGGCAGCAGUGGGGAAUAUUGGGCAAUGGGCGCAAGCCUGACCCAGCAACGCCGCGUGAAGGAAGAAGGCUUUCGGGUUGUAAACUUCUUUUCUGGGGGACGAACAAAUGACGGUACCCCAGGAAUAAGCCACGGCUAACUACGUGCCAGCAGCCGCGGUAAUACGUAGGUGGCAAGCGUUAUCCGGAUUUAUUGGGUGUAAAGGGCGUGUAGGCGGGAAUGCAAGUCAGAUGUGAAAACUCAGGGCUCAACCCUGAGCCUGCAUUUGAAACUGUGU
rnacentral:rRNA from 1 species